CGACCACAACGGGUGGAGCCUGCGGUUUAAUUGGACUCAACGCCGGGCAGCUCACCGGAUAAGACAGCUGGAUGAUAGCCGGGCUGAAGACUCUGCUUGACUAGCUGAGAGGAGGUGCAUGGCCGUCGUCAGUUCGUACUGUGAAGCAUCCUGUUAAGUCAGGCAACGAGCGAGACCCACGCCAACAGUUGCCAGCAUGUCCUCCGGGAUGAUGGGGACACUGUUGGGACCGCUCUGCUAAAGAGGAGGAAGGAAUGGGCAACGGUAGGUCAGCAUGCCCCGAAUUAUCCGGGCUACACGCGGGCUACAAUGGUCAGGACAAUGGGUAUCGACACCGAGAGGUGGAGGCAAUCUCCUAAACCUGUCCUUAGUUCGGAUUGUGGGCUGCAACUCGCCCACAUGAAGCUGGAAUCCGUAGUAAUCGCGUUUCAAAAUAGCGCGGUGAAUAUGUCCCUGCUCCUU
rnacentral:rRNA from 1 species